UUUCGGAUCCUUUAACUCAGAUGGCUGGCUGGGCACAGUGACACAUGCCUGUAAUCCCAGAGGCUUGGGAGGCUGAGGCAGGAGGAU
rnacentral:miRNA from 1 species